rnacentral:lncRNA from 1 species
GUAAAAGGUACCACAUUCCAAACUCUCCAAUUUCAGUGUGGAACUGAAGGUUUCCAGAAUUCUGGAGACAAUGAAAUAAGAUUUGCACACUGUGACAACACAGGUCUCUAACAGCGAAUCCAAGACUGGGAUUUUUUUAAAGCUCUCUUCCCUUCCCCACCUUGAGUGUACAAUGGAGAGUGCUAGUGUGGUGUCACAUGGUGCAACAUGGCUCAGUGUUGUGUGAAACUAAGAUUUGGGGCAUAUUUUAUAAUGAACAUAACAUAUGAGCAUAACAGUCGUGAUUAACGUAUACAAUUAAAGAUAUGUGGAAAUGACUCCAUCUCCGACCACACAUCCUCUGAGUAAUUUUGAUGGGGAUGGCUUAUGUUCUACUGCCACCUCGUGGUGGGCAUUCUGUGAACAUGCAUCUUGGAACAGUGGGGAGAACCAGUUUGGACUUCUGAGGAUCCAAAAGCCCAAGAAAAAAAUCUGAGUUCUCACGACAAAGUCACUUCCUGCUACAACACCUGGAAAAUGUCAUGACCCGAGCUAGUCUCACUUCAGAGUCCCUGGUUUCUAGUACGGUGCCUGACAGAUAGAUGACUUUCUUUAUAUGUUGCUGAAGACAGGCAGAGAGGAAGAAAGGAAGAGAGGAUAAAGGGAGGAAUAAACUUGAUAUAAGCAUCUUUGCAUAAUUAACAACUGGGUCAAAUUUUCUUCAUUUCAUUGAGAUUCUUGAUACAAGCCUCUGCUGAUGAAUUGGAUUCCAAAAAGAUAUUGUUGUCCAGGCCACACCAUACGGGACUUACCACUCCCAGUUGCUAACAUCUGCACGUAUUUGCCUGGAGGUCUCCUCUGGUCACCAGAUCCUACUCUGCCUGGGCCACAUGACAAGGUGAUGUGCUGAGGAACAAAAGCCCCCAGGAGUAUCCCUCAAGCAGUGUUGGACUGGAGUUGAGCAGGUCAUGAUCCACAUGAAAAACUGAGGGAAGACAUCCAGGACCUGCUGGAGAGCACAUGGAAAAAAGUUGGGACACAGAAAAGGAAAGCAGCAAGAGUCGGGCAGAGAUUGAUCCCCAAGGAACUUGGAAUACCAUGGGAAAGGUUAAUCGUCCUCGAAGAGAGAGAGAAACAAAAGAAAAAUGAAAAAAGGAAAGAAAUUUUCUCCACAAAGACUCAGAAAAGCUACAAUCCUAAGAAGUCAAAACUAUAAUCGGCUUGAGUUGAAGAAUCCAAGGAUCUUUACAGUUUUGUGACCUGUCCAAGGUUACACAGCUCACCUUUUCAUUUUGCACUGGGCCCAAGUUAUGUAGCCAGCCUGCUUAGAGAUCUCUACUUACCCCAGUUUUCUGAUUUAUAAAACAAAAAUAAUAAUAAUAUUGUUAAAUUAAAUGAAGCCUAAAGCUGCCUCCCUAUGUAUUUUUAAUUUGGCCUAAAGGUUUCUUCGUACAGAGUGAACUAUAACCUGACUAGAUGUGUGAUCUACUCUUGUGCCAAUCAUCAAGUUUUAACCAAUCGAAGGGAGCCAACUGCUUAAACCAUGUUCAAAUAAGGCAAAUGUCCAGCUGUAACCACUUCAGCUGUUUCUGUGCCUCACUUCUGUCUUCUACACAUCACUUUCCUUUUUCUAUCCAUAAAUGUUUUUUGAUCAUGCAGCAGCAUGAAGUUGAUCUGAACCUACUUUGGUUUGGGAGACUGCCCAAUUCGUGAAUCAAUUAAACUGUUAAAUUUAAUUUGUCUAAGGUUUUU